UACGUAGGGGGCAAGCGUUGUCCGGAUUCACUGGGCGUAAAGGGUGCGCAGGCGGCCGUGUGUGUCAGGUGUGAAAGCCCGGAGCUUAACUCCGGAAUUGCGCCUGAAACUACAUGGCUAGAGCAUUGGAGAGGGUAGCGGAAUUCACGGUGUAGCAGUGAAAUGCGUAGAUAUCGUGAGGAACACCAGAGGCGAAGGCGGCUACCUGGACAAUUGCUGACGCUCAGGCACGAAAGCGUGGGGAGCAAAAGGG
rnacentral:rRNA from 1 species